GUUAACGUAGCUUAAAAUUAAAGCAAAGCACUGAAAAUGCUUAGAAGGGUUUAUACCCUGUAAACA
rfam:Erinaceus europaeus unplaced genomic scaffold scaffold00478, whole genome shotgun sequence